rnacentral:rRNA from 1 species
UACGAAGGGGGCUAGCGUUGCUCGGAAUCACUGGGCUUAAAGGGCGCGUAGGCGGGCUGCCGCGUCCGGGGUGAAAUCCCACGGCUCAACCGUGGAACGGCCUCGGAUACGGGCGGCCUCGAGGGGGGUAGGGGCAUCUGGAACUGUGAGUGGAGCGGUGAAAUGCGUUGAUAUUGUGAGGAACGCCGGAGGCGAAAGCGGCGCACUGGAUCUCUUCUGACGCUGAGGCGCGAAAGCUAGGGGAGCAAACGGG